rnacentral:rRNA from 1 species
GACACGGUCCAGACUCCUACGGGAGGCAGCAGUGGGGAAUUUUGGACAAUGGGGGCAACCCUGAUCCAGCCAUUCCGCGUGAGUGAAGAAGGCCUUCGGGUUGUAAAGCUCUUUCGCAAGAGAAGAAAACUUGCUAUCUAAUAAAUAGUAAGUAUGACGGUAUCUUGACAAGAAGCACCGGCUAACUAUGUGCCAGCAGCCGCGGUAAUACAUAGGGUGCAAGCGUUAAUCGGAAUUACUGGGCGUAAAGCGUUCGCAGGCGGUCUUAUAAGUCAGAUGUGAAAUCCCCGAGCUCAACUUGGGAACUGCGUUUGAAACUGUAAGACUAGAGUGUGUCAGAGGGGGGUAGAAUUCCAAGUGUAGCAGUGAAAUGCGUAGAGAUUUGGAGGAAUACCAAUGGCGAAGGCAGCCCCCUGGGAUAACACUGACGCUCAUGCACGAAAGCGUGGGGAGCAAACAGGAUUAGAUACCCUGGUAGUCCACGCCCUAAACGAUGUCUACUAGUUGUUGGUGGAGUAAAAUCCAUGAGUAACGCAGCUAACGCGUGAAGUAGACCGCCUGGGGAGUACGGUCGCAAGAUUAAAACUCAAAUGAAUUGACGGGGGCCCGCACAAGCGGUGGAUUAUGUGGAUUAAUUCGAUGCAACGCGAAAAACCUUACCUGGCCUUGACAUGUACCGAAUUUAGCAGAGAUGCUUUAGUGCUCGAAAGAGAACGGUAACACAGGUGCUGCAUGGCUGUCGUCAGCUCGUGUCGUGAGAUGUUGGGUUAAGUCCCGCAACGAGCGCAACCCUUGCCAUUAAUUGCCAUCAUUUAGUUGGGCACUUUAAUGGGACUGCCGGUGACAAACCGGAGGAAGGUGGGGAUGACGUCAAGUCCUCAUGGCCCUUAUGGCCAGGGCUUCACACGUAAUACAAUGGUCGGUACAGAGGGAAGCCAACCCGCGAGGGGGAGCCAAUCUCAGAAAGCCGGUCGUAGUCCGGAUUGUUGUCUGCAACUCGACAGCAUGAAGUCGGAAUCGCUAGUAAUCGCGGAUCAGCAUGUCGCGGUGAAUACGUUCCCGGGCCUUGUACACACCGCCCGUCACACCAUGGGAGUGGGUUUUACCAGAAGUAGUUAGUCUAUCCGCAAGGGGGACGAUUACCACGGUAGGAUUCAUGACUGGGGUGAAGUCGUAACAAGGUAGCCGUAUCGGAAGGUGCGGCUG